GUCUACGGCCACACCAUCCUGAACGCACCCCAUCUUGUCUGAUCUCAGAAGCUAAGCAGGGUUGGGCCUCGUUAGGACUUGGAUGGGAGGAAGUCUCUGUAAAGU
rnacentral:rRNA from 1 species